UGGCUCGAGGACGAACGCUGGCGGCGUGCCUAACACAUGCAAGUCGAGCGGGGACAUACGACGGAAGCGAAGUUUCGGAUGGAGCGGAAGAUGUAUGUUCUAGCGGCGGACGGGUGAGUAACGCGUGAGCAACCUGUCCCUUACAGGGGGAUAACACAGCGAAAGUUGUACUAAUACCGCAUGAGACCACGGGGAGACAUCUUCCAGGGGUCAAAGGAGCAAUCCGGUAAAGGGGUGGGCUCGCGUCCGAUUAGAUAGUUGGUGAGGUAACGGCCCACCAAGUCGACGAUCGGUAGCCGACCUGAGAGGGUGAUCGGCCACAUUGGGACUGAGACACGGCCCAAACUCCUACGGGAGGCAGCAGUGGGGAAUAUUGGGGACCAAUGGGGGGAACCCUGACCCAGCAACGCCGCGUGAGGGAAGAAGGUUUUCGGAUCGUAAACCUCUGUCCUUGGUGAAGAGGAAGAGACGGUAGCCAAGGAGGAACGCCCCGGCUAACUACGUGCCAGCCGCCGC
rnacentral:rRNA from 1 species